UACGUAGGGUGCGAGCGUUGCCCGGAAUUAUUGGGCGUAAAGAGCUUGUAGCGGUUUGUCGCGUCUGCCGUGAAAGUCCGGGGCUCAACUCCGGAUCUGCGGUGGGUACGGGCAGACUAGAGUGAUGUAGGGGAGACUGGAAUUCCUGGCGUAGCGGUGAAAUGCGCAGAUAUCAGGAGGAACACCGAUGGCGAAGGCAGGUCUCUGGGCAUUAACUGACGCUGAGGAGCGGAAAGCAUGGGGGAGCGAACAGG
rnacentral:rRNA from 1 species